AUUGAACGCUGGCGGAAUGCUUUACACAUGCAAGUCGAACGGCAGCAUAGGUGCUUGCACCUGAUGGCGAGUGGCGAACGGGUGAGUAAUAUAUCGGAACGUGCCCAGUCGUGGGGGAUAACGUAGCGAAAGCUACGCUAAUACCGCAUACGAUCUAAGGAUGAAAGCGGGGGAUCGCAAGACCUCGCGCGAUUGGAGCGGCCGAUAUCAGAUUAGGUAGUUGGUGAGGUAAAGGCUCACCAAGCCGACGAUCUGUAGCUGGUCUGAGAGGACGACCAGCCACACUGGGACUGAGACACGGCCCAGACUCCUACGGGAGGCAGCAGUGGGGAAUUUUGGACAAUGGACGCAAGUCUGAUCCAGCCAUUCCGCGUGCAGGACGAAGGCCUUCGGGUUGUAAACUGCUUUUGUACAGAACGAAAAGGUUUCUACUAAUACUAGGGGCUCAUGACGGUACUGUAAGAAUAAGCACCGGCUAACUACGUG
rnacentral:rRNA from 1 species